AUACGGAGGGUGCAAGCGUUAUUCGGAAUCACUGGGCGUAAAGGACGCGUAGGCGGGUUGGCAAGUCAGAUGAGAAAUCCUACAGCUUAACUGUAGAACUGCAUUUGAAACUGCUAACCUAGAGUAUGGGAGGGGGAGAUGGAAUUAGUGGUGUAGGGGUAAAAUCCGUAGAUAUCACUAGGAAUACCGAAAGCGAAGGCGAUCUCCUGGAACAUAACUGACGCUAAGGCGUGAGAGCGUGGGGAGCAAACAGGAUUAGAAACCCUAGUAGUCC
rnacentral:rRNA from 1 species